GGAAGUAAAAGUCGUAACAAGGUUUCCGUAGGUGAACCUGCGGAAGGAUCAUUACCUAGAGUUGUAGGCUUUGCCUGCUAUCUCUUACCCAUGUCUUUUGAGUACCUUACGUUUCCUCGGUGGGUUCGCCCACCGAUUGGACAAACUUAAACCCUUUGCAGUUGAAAUCAGCGUCUGAAAAAACUUAAUAGUUACAACUUUCAACAACGGAUCUCUUGGUUCUGGCAUCGAUGAAGAACGCAGCGAAAUGCGAUAAGUAGUGUGAAUUGCAGAAUUCAGUGAAUCAUCGAAUCUUUGAACGCACAUUGCGCCCCUUGGUAUUCCAUGGGGCAUGCCUGUUCGAGCGUCAUUUGUACCUUCAAGCUCUGCUUGGUGUUGGGUGUUUGUCUCCUGUAGACUCGCCUUAAAACAAUUGGCAGCCGGCGUAUUGAUUUCGGAGCGCAGUACAUCUCGCGCUUUGCACUCAUGACGACGACAUCCAAAAGUACAUUUUUACACUCUUGACCUCGGAUCAGGUAGGGAUACCCGCUGAACUUAAGCAUAUCAAUAAGCGGAGGA
rnacentral:rRNA from 1 species